rnacentral:rRNA from 1 species
AGAGUUUGAUCAUGGCUCAGGGUGAACGCUAGUAGUAUGCUUAACACAUGCGAGUCGAACGGAGAAUAAUUCUCCGUGGCGUACGGGUGAGUAAUACACAGGAAUCUGCCUUUUAGUUCAGGAUAAAAUUCUGAAUAAUCAAAGAAAAUCUUUCGCUAAAAGAUGAGCCUGUGUAGGAUUAGGUAGUUGGUAUUUGGGUAAAAGCCUACCAAGCCUAUGAUCCUUAGCUGUUCUGAGAGGUUGUACAGCCACACUGGGACUGAGACAAGGCCCAGGCUUCAUUUGGAGCCAGCAGUGAGGAAUUUUGGACAAUGAGCGAAAGCUUGAUCCAGCAAUACUACAUGAGUGAUGAAGGCUUUCAAGUUGUAAAACUCUUUGGUUGAGGAGGAUAAUGACAGUACUCAACAAAAUAGCCCCGGCUAACUUCGUGCCAGCAGCCGCGGUAAGACGAAGGGGGCGAGCGUUAUCCGGAAUGACUGGGCGUAAAGGGUCCGUAGGCAGCAUUUUUUGUUAGAGGUUAAAUAAAAAAGCUUAACUUUUUUCCGCUUCUAAAACGUAAAUGCUUCGAGUUUGAUAGGAGAUAGCAGAAUUUCACAUGGAGGGGUGAUAUCCGUAGAUAUGUGAAGGAAUACCAGAGGCGAAGGCGGCUAUCUAGAUCAAUACUGACGUUGAGGGACGAAAGCAUGGGGAGCAAACAGGAUUAGAUACCCUGGUAGUCCAUGCCCUAAAAGAUGAGUGCUCGUGCUUAGAGAUCUUUAGGCACUUAGUUAACCACGUAAGCCNCCGCCUGG